UCGAACGGUAGCAGGAAGUGCUUGCACUUUGCUGACGAGUGGCGGACGGGUGAGUAAUGCUUGGGAACUUGCCUUUGCGAGGGGGAUAACAGUUGGAAACGACUGCUAAUACCGCAUAAUGUCUACGGACCAAACGGGGCUUAGGCUUCGGCGCAGAGAGAGGCCCAAGUGAGAUUAGCUAGUUGGUGGGGUAAAGGCUCACCAAGGCGACGAUCUCUAGCUGUUCUGAGAGGAAGAUCAGCCACACUGGGACUGAGACACGGCCCAGACUCCUACGGGAGGCAGCAGUGGGGAAUAUUGCACAAUGGGGGGAACCCUGAUGCAGCCAUGCCGCGUGUGUGAAGAAGGCCUUCGGGUUGUAAAGCACUUUCAGUUGUGAGGAAAAGUGAGUAGUUAAUACCUGCUCACCGUGACGUUAACAACAGAAGAAGCACCGGCUAACUCCGUGCCAGCAGCCGCGGUAAUACGGAGGGUGCGAGCGUUAAUCGGAAUUACUGGGCGUAAAGCGCACGCAGGCGGUUUGUUAAGCUAGAUGUGAAAGCCCCGAGCUCAACUUGGGAUGGUCAUUUAGAACUGGCAGACUAGAGUCUUGGAGAGGGGAGUGGAAUUCCAGGUGUAGCGGUGAAAUGCGUAGAUAUCUGGAGGAACAUCAGUGGCGAAGGCGACUCCCUGGCCAAAGACUGACGCUCAUGUGCGAAAGUGUGGGUAGCGAACAGGAUUAGAUACCCUGGUAGUCCACACCGUAAACGCUGUCUACUAGCUGUUUGUGGCUUUAAGCCGUGAGUAGCGAAGCUAACGCGAUAAGUAGACCGCCUGGGGAGUACGGCCGCAAGGUUAAAACUCAAAUGAAUUGACGGGGGCCCGCACAAGCGG
rnacentral:rRNA from 1 species